AUACUUACCUGGCAGGGGAGAUACCAUGAUCACAAAGGUGGUUUUUCUAGGGCGAGGCUUAUCCAUUGCACUCCAGAUGUGCUGACCCCUGCAAUUUUCCCAAAUGUGGGAAACUCAACUGCAUAAUUUGUGGUAGCGGGGAAAAAGAAAUAAUGCCUA
ensembl:snRNA U1 U1 spliceosomal RNA